rnacentral:rRNA from 1 species
CAGCAGCCGCGGUAAUCCGUAGGGGGCGAGCGUUACCCGGAUUCACUGGGCGUAAAGGGGGUGUAGGCGGCUCGGUAAGUCGGGUGUGAAAUCCCACGGCUCAACCGUGGAAUUGCGCCCGAAACUGCCGAGCUUGGGGCCGGUAGAGGGAGACGGAACUGCCGGUGUAGGGGUGAAAUCCGUAGAUAUCGGCAGGAACGCCGGUGGGGAAGCCGGUCUCCUGGGCCGCGCCCGACGCUGAGGCCCGAAAGCUAGGGGAGCAAACCGGAUUAGAUACCCGGGUAGUCCUAGCCGUAAACGAUGCCCACUAGGUGUGGGGGAGUAUUUCCUCCGUGCUGUAGCUAACGCGUUAAGUGGGCCGCCUGGGGAGUACGCCCGCAAGGGUGAAACUUAAAGGAAUUGGCGGG